GUUGCCUUUGGUCUUGUGAGUGUACCUGAAGGCCAAGUGCAUGCUGGAUGAUAAGGAGAAGAACUUGCAGAAGAUCAAAAUUAACAGAGCAGCAAAGCUUGGGGGCAUCAAGCCUACUCUUUACCUCCCUUCUCUCAUCGGGCGAGCUCAGACUGCCGCCGACUCGGCGUGUGCUGCUCCCAUCCGAGCGGCCGCCACACAUUUGCCUGCGAGGCUUGAGAGGGGGGGCCUCGACACCCGGGAGACUAAGUCCGUUCACAUUACCCACUGUGGGAGAAGCAGUGCGGCGGGCCAGACAUGGGAGCGAGAGAAUGAAAGAGCAGGGGCGAACGAAAUGCAAAAGAAAGUAUGUUUGUGAAACGAUAACUCACUGAGGUAAGAAAGUCUGAAGUGAAGCUGAUAUUCAAAAAUGUUUUAUACAUUGGAACUCCAAAGUGGAGCACCAUCUGUGAUGUGAUGCUGGUGCUUCUCGUUUCAAAACCAAAUUUCGGAAAUGAGCUCAAACGGGGCAGUAAGGGGAGUAGCAGUAAGCAUGUCUGCCCCGCAGUCGAGAAAUCCUAUUUAAAGUUCGCAUGUUUUUCCCAGUAAUUGCUUGGAUUUCCUCCCACAUUCCGAAAACGGGCAUUUUUAGUUCUUUGAAGAUGCUAAAUUGUCCGGAGGUCUGAAUGUGUUUUUCUCUCCCAUAUGUGCCUUGUGAUUGACUCGCGGCCACUCCAGGUUGUACCCCACCUCUCGCACAAAGUCCACAGGGAUGGGCUCGACAAGCGCUGUAGCCCUGUGGCUGGGCGACAUUUUAAACAUCUAUCCAGGAACUGCAAAGUGAUUCCUUUUGGCUAAUUCUGGCUAACCAUUUACAGCAGUAGUUAUUAAUGUGUGCAUUCUCCCCGUUCCAUUAAGCAAUAAACAAUGCAUGGAAGGAAGCUCACACUGUCGCCAUCAUAAAACCUUUAUAAACCCGACAGACCAGUGAUUCCCAACUAGCGUGUCAGGAGAGAUCGUCAGGUGUGCCGUGAGAAAUCAUCCAGUUUGAUCCACCUUAUUCCUGGGUGCACUCAUGAAGAAACAAUUAUGGGUGCAACUUCCUGUGAGACACCGGAAGUAGCAGUGAGCCAUUUGUUGCUAGCUCUUUUGGUUGCCCAGGAGCGGUUCAUUUGGACGUGUAUUGUUUCCUUCGUGAUUAGCAGCCCCCGUAGCAUUUAAAAAUGUCCUUGCGCAUCUCGGCGUGUUUUGAGAAAGACUUAGCAGAAAGCAUCGGAUACAGAGGGAGAGGCUGAAACCAGCUGCGGUGCCAACUAUUUUUCCUACAGCCAUCGGGACCUCAACCACCAGCAGGAGAACUAAAUCUCGCAGCCGCCACGGUGCCGCGGCGAAGCGGCGCAGACAAGAGGUGAGGAUUUCCUUGUAUAUACCUACGACUCUAUUUUGGUUACUAUGCACUGGGCAGCGGGAAAAAAAAGACCCACGCCGUACUUUUCAGUACUGUCGUCUGUACUGUUGCCUAUAUGACAAGUUAACAGACACGGCAAAGACUUUCUGCGCGGCGUGUUAUAACGCUGCUCGAGCAAGGGGCACACAAUAUAUAGGAAUCCUACAUACUAUGUAAAAGCUUGUGCCGUGUCACGGAAACAAAUAGGAAUAUAUAAUACGUGCAUGUAUUACAUAACGUAUAAACAAUCCAAAUAUGAAUUUUAACUGACCCCAUAACAUCUUUGUCAUCUGACUUUUAAACCGAUGUUGACAACGUCUGUUAGUUCCAGAAAUGGCCGCCGUUGUUUACUGGCGCUGUUGCGCAAUAUAGGCAGAGACUGGGACGGCUGUAUUUCCGGGUCACAGAUAUACAAUAUGACUAGAUCCAACCAACAGCCGUGCCUCCCGUGCCUACGUGGUGGCCAUGUUAAAUGUGGCAACAUUCCAUCAAAGGCAACGCAUUGACAUAUGGCGGCCAUGUUGGCCGUCAUGGCAGGAGUUCUAUCUAUUGUUGCAUAAAGCUCUGCACAGAGACAGCGUAUACGGCGGCGGUGUUUAAGAGGAAUACAACGCGCAACAGUCUCUGGAGUCUGGAACAUGCAAUUUUUGGCACAGUAACACUUUAUUUUAUUUUUUUGCCAAGCCGCUUUAGCAACGGAUUUGGAAACACAUUAAUUCCUCGCCGCUCAUGAAAGCAACCUGCCUCGACUCUCCAAUGACUACAAUAACGUCACGUAGCCAUCAAGCACACCAGCGUGCUGCGGGAUCAAAGUCUUCUUCUCCUUCAUUUUCUUCAGCUGGUAUGUAAUCAAUUCCAACUCAAUUCAAUUCCCCAUGAUGCGCAACGACACCAGCAGUCUUGAAAAUAGUCUAAUGGAUGUCAUUCUUUCUCUUUUUCGUCCACAAAACAUGAUGGAUGAUUUUCCACAGCCUACUCCAUAGACAAGCCCAUAACGCUCAUUGUUGAUGUCCCCUCAGAACCUGUGAAAAUGACCGUCAUGGUGCUUCACAGCAGGCUGGAUGGAUCCAGUCAGUGUGCUCUUUCGGACCCAACGUGACAACCCUGACUUUCUUGGAGCUGCUGUUUGUUCCUCGGAUAUGGAGCCGCUGAGCAUGUAUAGACUGUGAUAUUGACCAACUUUGGAAUGUUGGCAGUUGUAGCAGUGCCAACAUUCGGUGCCAGUUGGAUAGGAAUGAUUGGAAACAGGAUGGAAAGCAUGCAAGCCACACUCCGGGCUCCGGAGAGAGCAAGGGAGGCGAGGCACCAAGCGCCAUCCAAGUUCCAAAAAAGGAACUGCAGGUGUCAAAAGUUUUGAACAAACACAACCUCUAAAAACGGGUCCGCUGUUAAGAGUUGUUCAACUGAAAUGUGUAAAAUAGUUGGCGACUUCAUUGUUGGGUCAAGACGCCAAACAGAAAAGGAGAAAUGUUUACUUUUGAAUUUUCUGAAGUUAAGCGCUUCAUUAGAACGCAAAUAAUUUUCUCUUUUUAUUUACUUGCUCUUAUUGUGAAAUGCAGCCCUGCUUUUAUUUAGGAAAUGAGAGAACAUGACACAGUUGUGCUUAUAUGUUUGCGUACCAGGGCAGAAAUUGUAAGACGUGUAGAAUUCUUUAUUAUGCUGUAAUAUCAUUAUAUCUGUGGCAUUAAAAAAAAAAAAGAAACCAUCAGCAAUACUAUCGUUUUAUGGAAAACAUAUUCUAAAAGAUUUGCUAUCAUGGCAGUUGUAAACAUAUAUUGAGAGAGAGCAAGCGCAAUAUUGUACAACCAUCUGAAGAACAUAUCCAGAGUGAAGGCCUGCAUGUGUCAAGCAGACCAGGAGAAACUCACCCAUGCUUUGAUCUCAAGUAGACUUGACUAUUGUAAUUGUCUUCUGACUGGACUCCCCCAAAAGAGCAUUAAACAGCUCUAGCUGAUUCAGAAUGCUGCAGCUUGGGUUCUGACCAGAACAAAGAGGUCAGAGCAUAUUACUGCAAUUCUAAAGUCGUUACACUGGCUCCCAGUCAGCUUUAGAAUAGAUUUGAAAGUGCUGCUACCGGUCUGUCUAUAAAUCACUAAAGGGUUUCGAUCUUGAAUACAGGAAAGAAAUGCUCAUGGAAUAUCAACCCAGUAGGGCUCUGAGAUCGACAGACUCGGGUCAAAUAGUGGCGCACAGAGUCCAAAGCGAACGUGGUGAAGCAGCAUUUGGCUAUUAUGCUGCACACAAAUGGAAGAAGUUGCCAAUAGAAGUGACUAUGAAUGUUUUUAAGUCCAGGUUAAAAACUCGACUUUUUUCUCAUGCUUUUUAGAGCAUUUGCACUGUUUGAAUUGUACUUUUAUUUGAUUUUCUCUUUGUUUGAAAUGUU